CACACAGGAGAAGGUGCUACCAAAAUCCCAGUGGUCUACCUUGAAGCAGGAUUUGCUUUAGUAAAAGUUAAACGUUAUAGUGAUGCUCUUUUGGUCUUUGAGGAGGUGAUCACUGCUUGAUGCUGAUGAAAAACAAAAUGUAGCUGAUUCUGAUGUUGUUCUUGAAAAUGUGGACUUUGUUUUAUGGGCUGGUGCAGCCCGUCUCCUUCAAGCACAAGAUCACUAGAAACUGAAGAACACCAAAGAGGCAAUUACAAAUUUCACAAGAGCGAUUAAUAAUUUGGUGAAGGUGUUCAUUACACAGAAAGUCAAGUAAUCUCUCUCUUUCCAGUCUUACUGCUGCUCUAACAAAAUUGUGUUUUCAUACUAAUCAUAUCCGCUUUUGUUUGUGAAGUGUUGCCCGGUAAUAAGAUCUUUGGAAAAGCAGACUUAUAGAUCUAUUUAACUAUUAGAUAUUUUUAUCCUGGGGUCUUUAAGGGGUAUGUAUCUAUUAAUAACAGAUCUACUUUCAAGAGAUGAAGUAAGCUGUUUUUCUGUCUUUAGCCUACUGAGGCCACAUUUGAGGUGUGCACUUGCUUCAUGUACCAUUACUUACACAGUUUCAUCAAACUUUCAGACUGGAAUCAAAAACAUCUUGUAAACACUGAAGCAAUGGUUGAAAGAAUGGCGACUUUGGAAGCAGCAAAAGGACAAGCACUGGCUGGCAGAGGGCUCUGCUUUCUGGAAGGAGGUUGUAAGAGUAUUAAGAUGUUGCUAUCUGAGGUCUUGUGGAGGCUUGAUCGUAGAGAGGAAGCAUCAGCACACUGGAAAGAAGCCAAUUAUAAUUCAGAUGCACCUAAAAAGCUGCCGCUGUAUUUGCAGCUAUGGCCAGAUGACGCAGUUUUUGACUUCAAUGAGUUUUAGAAUAAGAUUGUGGAAUACAUUCAAGCCAAAAAGACACGAGAGAUGUCAGAAAUGAUGCUCUCUACUAAAUGUACUUUUUUGGGGCGUCCAAACCACAGCUACAUACAGGAAACACAGUUUGUGUUGUCUAAAUUCCUUUUCAGAUGUACCCAUGUAACAUUCCAUUUUGUAUAUCUAUUGUAUAUCUAAUGCUUGCCAAUUUCUCUGAAUAGCAUCUUAUUUUUGAAUCUAUGAUCUUUUCAAAUAAAUAAUGUUUAUAAUGAAAAGGAUUUGUACAAAGUAAUGCCAUCAAGUUAGCAUUUUUAAACAUUUGCUCAUAAAAAAAGUAAUUUCUGAUAAAUGACUAAAUCAUGACA